CUAAUUAAGCCCAAGAACUUUAGGAGAACCAAAUCCCCGAUUUCUUUUGGCAUCCUGUCUGAUUUUACACAGCUCAAAUCUAGCGUUUUUAGAUAUUUGAAUCUUGUGUAAAUACACUUCAACUCUUCUAAUUUGAAAAAACUCCCAGGUUCAUUUGUUAUUGCCAAUGAUCGCAACUUCAAAUAAUUAGAACUCGAUGCAUGUAAUUUUAAGUACUUACCAAUUCCAUUGUAUAUGGCAUGACGUGGUUGUUCAUUCAACAAGUGUAUGGGGCUUGAAUGAUCUUUACUUGAGUCAAAAAUUAGCAACAACUUCUCCUCUGAGGCCUUUUGUAUGGCAAGAUCACGCACAAGAUCAUGGAUACGGCAGUCCCAAACAUGUCCAUCCCAACGAAAUGUUGCUAUCUGAAUCAUAUUGCGAUUAAUUAACUCAUUUAAAUAGUCCUCAGACACAUCCUCCAUAACUAAUCCAUCUCCUUCAUCAGCUUCUGAUAUAAAUUCCUCUGCAAUCCAUAACAACUUUAAAUUGUUAACUUCAAAAGUAUGGUCUUCUGGAAACCUUGCAAGGUAUAGAAAACAUCGUCUCAGCUGGAAAGACAAGUCAUAAUAACUCAAGCUUAGUAUUUCUUGAAUCUCCACAGAAUCAGCCUUCAAUUUUCUCCAAAGAUGGUCCUUCACCAAUGACCAAUCCUCAUAGCUCUUCUUGUGCAGUAAUAGCCCACUUAGUAUCAUGAUUGCAAGUGGUAACCCUCCACAUUUACAUACCAUCUGCUUUCCUAACUUCUCAAGGUUCGGGGUUGGUUUUGCUCUCUUUAGGAAUAAUUGCCAGCUCUCAUCUUCCCUUAGAAAGCGGAGUGGAUGGACAAAACAUCUGUCAUCUACUUUCUGAGCAAUUAUUUUAUUUCGCGUGGUUAUGAUGACUCUACUACCGUUCUGCUUGUCAGGAAAAGCUUUUUUGAUCUUAAUCCAAGCCUCUAUAUCCCAUAUGUCAUCAAUUACGACCAAGUAACCAUCACAAUCUACCAGUAACUUUCUCAGGUGCUGCAGCAAGUCAAUUUCAUCCAUCUUCAUAAAAUCCAGUUCAUGUCCCAGUACAUGUCUCCCGAAAGACUUUAUCAUCGUCUUCAGAACAUCUUUGAUGUUAUAUUCCUGGGAGACACAGACCCAAGCACGACUCUUAAAAUGGCUCACUUUGCUAGAGUGGUAUAAUUUACUAGCAAGUGUAGUCUUGCCCAAACCCCCCAUGCCAUGAAUGGAAAUCAGUUUAAGCGAGAGAUCCUCACUAACAAGUUCAUCCAACAAAGUCUUGAAAUCAUCCUCAAAACCAACCACAUCCACCUGGUUUUCAAAGGAGGUUGCUCUAAGCAAUGUUCUUUUCCUCCUUUCCACCAUCUGCGUGGCUAAGAUGUUGGUAAUACCAUAUUCAUCUCGCCUGCUCUUGAUCACAACAACCCUUCCCUUGAGCAACUCAAUCUCUUUGCCUAUAUCAUAUAAACUGGCUUCCUUCCUGCACAAGCAGACAGAGCUCACAGAGCUCCACAAACAAUCCAUCAAACCUUCUUUCCGGACUGCAUGUUCUUCUUCGAGGGCACUAAACCUCUCCAGGAUAAUUAAAGCAUCAUUAGCAACGUCUUUGACGUUAUUCAUCCAUUGCCAGAUCGGGGGAUCCAUUUCUUGUCUUGCUUCUGCACCUCUCACCGAAGAUUGUAGGUAACCCAACUCAUCUUUGAGCCACCUUACACCAUCUUCCACUCCUAUCCUUGUGUUGACUCUUUGGGUAAGAAAAACAUUAAGCUUUUCAAUUGCAAAGGAAACAGCUGCAUCAGCCAUUUUUCUCUAUCAACUAGAAACAGCCAAACAGGCAGAAAGUAUUUGAAUGUUCUUGCAAACAGAAAAAACCAAAUGUAGGACAAUACCAAUAUGCAUCAACUAAUCAAAUUUGGUGUUGCAACUUUGCGAAGAAUCUGAGCAUUAUAUACAACUCAAUUAGAUUCAAAUAUAAUCUAAAAAAAUUGUAUUCCUUAACUUCAUUUCAGAUCUUAAAAUAAAAAUGUUGAGUUGUUUUAGACUUUAGUUGCAGUUCUGGCCAACUGGGGGGCCAAGUUCUUGGUAAUGUGUCACUUGAUGAGGCUCACAAGUCACAAUCCACUUGAAAGGACACCACUUUUCAGACACUAAACCCACUUUUCACUGUUAUUGCUAACGUCUUUAAUCAUUGAAGUCUGGUAUGUAGGAGGAUCAGAGUUUCAUCUAUAACAGAGGGAAAGAAAUAUUAUGAUUACUAAUUUACUAUUGUGCAUUUGAACUAAAAUGACUGGCAAAUUAGUAUAUUUUAAGGUAGUUAAAUGAGUUGUAGAGCUCAACUUAACAUGAUGAACUCUAUUGAUUGGAUGAGGUCUGAAUUCGAGAUUAGUUGUUUAACUGUUAACUCUGCAGAAGCUGACAUGAUAUUAUGAUGUCAGACUUUUGCAAAGAAAUAUGUUUUUAACCCAAAUUCUUAAAAUUAUAUAUUAAUUUUAUGAAAUGUUGAGCACUAUUUUUGUUAAAUUGGAGGUAUGACAGAUCGUUAACAAUAUAUAUACUUGCCAGUAAAAAGCAGUGUUGUAAAAAAAGGAUGACAUGCACGAACAAUUGACCAUAUGAAUCAGAGAUCAACAGGUCAUAUAUUCACUCAAUUUUAGGAAUCACGGAAUAAUGAUUAAUUAGAACUAAUCAGAUUAUAACACGUUUACAGUCGCUUGUACAAAACAAAGGGUGAAGACCAGAAAACUCAAACACUACUUUAAAAACAAAGCACAAGCACAAAAAGGGGAACUUCUAGUUCUAUGAUUCCCCGUCUCAGCACAAGUCAUACUCCUCGAAGUUUUGCAUACUUUCCCUGUCUGAGUAUCCGAAUCAAUGUCCGAAAACGAAGAGUACGUGGCGAAGACCUUCUUACUUGAUCCACAGCAAGACUCUUGUCUUGCUCGCUUUGCAGACCGCCAUCCGAUCUUGCAAGGAAGCUUUAAACAGCACCAGAAGAUGGACAGAGGGCAACACACGCAGAACAGGCAUGCAUUGCACACGAACUCCGUGACUUUUUGGCCAAUCGUUGCAUGUUUUUUGCACUCAUGACAAGAAGAGAACGAAGAUGAAUUUGAAAGCUUAGAAUUCACCAUAGCUUGUGUUACGGGGAAAGAAUACUUCUACCUUAUCUCUCUUUUUUACUUUACCACCGUCUGUUAUGUAUAGCUUUUUAAGUAUUUGAUCACUUUCUUCAUAAGAUGGAAUGAUUCUUAUCACAUGGUCCUCAAGCACUUAACCCAAUUUGACCAAAAACAUCAACUUUUUUUAUACUAUAACACAGCAGUUUUUAAUAGCACUCCCAAACAUACCNAAAUCCCCGAUUUCUUUUGGCAUCCUGUCUGAUUUUACACAGCUCAAAUCUAGCGUUUUUAGAUAUUUGAAUCUUGUGUAAAUACACUUCAACUCUUCUAAUUUGAAAAAACUCCCAGGUUCAUUUGUUAUUGCCAAUGAUCGCAACUUCAAAUAAUUAGAACUCGAUGCAUGUAAUUUUAAGUACUUACCAAUUCCAUUGUAUAUGGCAUGACGUGGUUGUUCAUUCAACAAGUGUAUGGGGCUUGAAUGAUCUUUACUUGAGUC
rnacentral:lncRNA from 1 species